rnacentral:snRNA from 1 species
UUCAAUUUCAGUAGAAAGUACAAUAAAACUGAAAUGAUAAUAAAGGAGAUUAACAUGGCCUUUGGUUAAAAAUGACAAGUGAUUUCAUUAAGUGUUCCAUAUUUUC